rnacentral:rRNA from 1 species
AUGCACCGAAGCUGCGGCAGCGACACUGUGUGUUGUUGGGUAGGGGAGCGUUCUGUAAGCCUGUGAAGGUGUGCUGUGAGGCAUGCUGGAGGUAUCAGAAGUGCGAAUGCUGACAUAAGUAACGAUAAAGCGGGUGAAAAGCCCGCUCGCCGGAAGACCAAGGGUUCCUGUCCAACGUUAAUCGGGGCAGGGUGAGUCGACCCCUAAGGCGAGGCCGAAAGGCGUAGUCGAUGGGAAACAGGUUAAUAUUCCUGUACUUGGUGUUACUGCGAAGGGGGGACGGAGAAGGCUAUGUUGGCCGGGCAACGGUUGUCCCGGUUUAAGCGUGUAGGCUGGUUUUCCAGGCAAAUCCGGAAAAUCAAGGCUGAGGCGUGAUGACGAGGCACUACGGUGCUGAAGCAACAAAUGCCCUGCUUCCAGGAAAAGCCUCUAAGCAUCAGGUAACAUCAAAUCGUACCCCAAACCGACACAGGUGGUCAGGUAGAGAAUACCAAGGCGCUUGAGAGAACUCGGGUGAAGGAACUAGGCAAAAUGGUGCCGUAACUUCGGGAGAAGGCACGCUGAUAUGUAGGUGAAGUCCCUCGCGGAUGGAGCUGAAAUCAGUCGAAGAUACCAGCUGGCUGCAACUGUUUAUUAAAAACACAGCACUGUGCAAACACGAAAGUGGACGUAUACGGUGUGACGCCUGCCCGGUGCCGGAAGGUUAAUUGAUGGGGUCAGCGCAAGCGAAGCUCUUGAUCGAAGCCCCGGUAAACGGCGGCCGUAACUAUAACGGUCCUAAGGUAGCGAAAUUCCUUGUCGGGUAAGUUCCGACCUGCACGAAUGGCGUAAUGAUGGCCAGGCUGUCUCCACCCGAGACUCAGUGAAAUUGAACUCGCUGUGAAGAUGCAGUGUACCCGCGGCAAGACGGAAAGACCCCGUGAACCUUUACUAUAGCUUGACACUGAACAUUGAGCCUUGAUGUGUAGGAUAGGUGGGAGGCUUUGAAGUGUGGACGCCAGUCUGCAUGGAGCCGACCUUGAAAUACCACCCUUUAAUGUUUGAUGUUCUAACGUGGACCCGUGAUCCGGGUUGCGGACAGUGUCUGGUGGGUAGUUUGACUGGGGCGGUCUCCUCCUAAAGAGUAACGGAGGAGCACGAAGGUUGGCUAAUCCUGGUCGGACAUCAGGAGGUUAGUGCAAUGGCAUAAGCCAGCUUGACUGCGAGCGUGACGGCGCGAGCAGGUGCGAAAGCAGGUCAUAGUGAUCCGGUGGUUCUGAAUGGAAGGGCCAUCGCUCAACGGAUAAAAGGUACUCCGGGGAUAACAGGCUGAUACCGCCCAAGAGUUCAUAUCGACGGCGGUGUUUGGCACCUCGAUGUCGGCUCAUCACAUCCUGGGGCUGAAGUAGGUCCCAAGGGUAUGGCUGUUCGCCAUUUAAAGUGGUACGCGAGCUGGGUUUAGAACGUCGUGAGACAGUUCGGUCCCUAUCUGCCGUGGGCGCUGGAGAACUGAGGGGGGCUGCUCCUAGUACGAGAGGACCGGAGUGGACGCAUCACUGGUGUUCGGGUUGUCAUGCCAAUGGCACUGCCCGGUAGCUAAAUGCGGAAGAGAUAAGUGCUGAAAGCAUCUAAGCACGAAACUUGCCCCGAGAUGAGUUCUCCCUGACCCUUUAAGGGUCCUGAAGGAACGUUGAAGACGACGACGUUGAUAGGCCGGGUGUGUAAGCGCAGCGAUGCGUUGAGCUAACCGGUACUAAUGAACCGUGAGGCUUAACCUUACAACGCCGAAGGUGUUU